UCAACGCUCAUCCAUGGCCGAUUCUAGCUCUAGUUCCGCAUAUUCUCAAAACCCCAACCCAAUCACUAAAAUUUGCCCCUACACUCCUAUGCUUCCCAACGUUACACAAUUGGGUGGUAUCAAACCGAAAGGAUCCUGCAACUACCUUGGAUGGGUUGCUCAAUUCCAGCACAUUCUUUGUGGUUACGAACUUGAGGGAUUAAUUGAUGGAACAGAUCCAUGUCCUCCCAAACUCAUCACCAACCCCAUAGAUGAUGCUCAAAUUCUGAAUCCAGCCUAUGUUACAUGGCGGAGGAGAGACCAACAGCUGCUGAGUCUCAUCAUAUGCUCCUUAGUUCCCUCUCUAGUGUCGUUGAUGUAUGGUUUAAACACAUCUCGACUAGCCUGGAAUGCCCUCGCAACCAGGUUUGCUGCCCAGUCCAGAUCAUGCAUCUCUAAUCUCAAGCGUCAGUUGCAAAGCUUGCUGUAGGGAAGUAAGUCGUGUACUGAGUACUUGAAUCAAGCUAAACAAUGGGCUCAUGAAUUAUCUACAGUAGGUAAGCCCCUUGAAGAUGAUGAUCUCAUCUUAUUUAUUAUCAGUGGAAUAAAUCCAAUGUUCAAUUAUUUUGUUACUGCAUUCACCUUACGUGACCGUGCAAUGACUUUUCUUGAUUUUCAAUCUGAAUUGUUAAGUCAUGAAAUAUUGCUUCAAAACCAACAGCACACUCUCACGCCUGAAGCUGGUCCUUUUGCCUUAUUUGCCAACAAACCAAACCAAUCACAUUCCCAUCCACACCAUUCUACCCACUUUAGGAAAACAAAAUUUUCCUCAAGACCAAACCAAAAUAGCCAAUCACGUCCUUUCCAUUUUUCUCCAUGUAACCACACUUCCCCACCAAAUCGCCCACCAACACCACACCAUGGGAAUUCCUCAUUUAGUGCUCCACACCAUGGGAAUUCCUCAUUCAAUGCUCCUCCAACCCCACGGUUCCUAUGCCAAAUCUGUGAGAAAAGCAGUCAUAGGGCUUUAGAUUGCUACCACAGAAUGGACUAUGCCUAUCAAGGAAGGCAUCCACAACACAACUAGCAGCAAUGGUUCCCCACACAAAUGGCGAUUUUGAAACUCAAGACUGGUUAGUUGACUCUGGAGCCAACACUCAUGUGACAAUUGAUUCCUCCAACAUCACUGAUACUCAACCAUUUGCAGGAGCAGACACUGUGGGUGUAGGCAACAGUUCAGGACAACUUGACAGGAGCCGUACUGCUUCAGGGGCCGAGUGAGAAUGGGCUCUACCCUAUCCAUCUCCACAGAAAAUUCAUGAAUAAACUCAAGGGGUUUGCAGCUCUUCUUGGUGUUAAAACUACCAACAUGGUUUGGCAUCAAAGGCUAGGACACCCAUCAGCCCCUGUUUUCCAGCAUCUCCUUCAUCACUAGAAAAUUCCUCUUGUUGGGUCUUUUAAUAAAUCUAGAGUCUGUGAGUCAUGUCAACUUGGAAAAUUUAAGCAAUUGCCUUUUUCUAAGUCCAGUCGUGUUUCCACUACUCCCUUAGAAAUAAUUCACUUAGAUGUUUGGAUAUCUCCUGUUCCGUCACUUAGUGGAUGCAAAUUUUAUGUAUUGUUUAUUGAUGACUACAACUGAUACACCUGGUUGUAUCCCAUUAUGAAUAAAAGUGAUGUCUUUUAAUGUUU